rnacentral:misc_RNA from 1 species
UUAGGCAGCGACAUCCACUUGUCCAUUCUCGUUCAGGACUUGCCCAAGACCAUUUUUGGCUUGGCUCUUUUUGGUACACUGUGUUGCAUGCCAACAUUGAUGGAAUUUUGUUGUCAGUUGUCCCUAUUUUCACCUUGUGCUGCUCAUGUGGUGCGGGGUGAACAACGUAGUGCCUCGUGAUGUCCUACCAUCAUCACUUCUUGUGCUGUGGUUUUGGGUGACACCGGAUACUUGAAUUCUCGGAUACAGAACGUUGAGAUGGGUGUAUGGUUUCUAGUACACCAUGCACCCAAGAUUGAGCACUCUCGGUUUACAUCAACGGCUCUAUGUGCCCAUCUUGACUAUUUCUGAUGUUUCAGAAUAACUAAGAUGGGUCAUCUUGUCAUUGUUUACGAGAAGAGUGACGAAGACAAACUGUCGCCACCCCGUUACGUAGAUGUUCUGAGGUAUAUCCAACAUGGCGACUCGGGCGGGGUAAAAUGCCGACAUUUUGAAGGAAUGCUACCUGG